AAACAUAUUAAUUAGGAUAUAUAUUAUAUAUCCCUAUAAAGUUUAAAUUUUCAGAUUUAUCUCUUAAAAAAUUUUAACGGUUUCAAAUAUACACUUACUAUUAGUGUCCGUUGAAAAAUUUUAGUUAAUCAUAGAUAAAAUACUUAAUCUUGGUUAGUGAAUGAGAUAAUUUGACCUUUUUACUCCUAUAAUAUUAUACAUUUUUUUUUAAUCAGAAUCCUAAUUCAAUCAAAACCCUAGCAAUAAGAACUCUUCUUCCUCUUCCUCUCGAACCCGUAAUUAGGAUUUCUUUGUCCCCAUUCAUCUACGAUGCGUGUUGCUUCGCCCAUGUCGAGCAUCAGGGAAUCAGCAUCAGAUAGGUAAAAGAGAAAAAGAGCGAGAGAAGAGAUUACAAUGAUGGUAGAUUGGAUUAAUUGUUUUAGAGGAAAAAGAUGAUCAUUAGGAAUUUUUUGGGAGGAUAUUUCUGUAUAAUUCUAAUAGCUGGUGCUUAUGGAAGAGUAUUUGUGAUGACAAAAUUGACAUUUUACUUCUAUUCUGUUAAAAAAAUAUUUUAACAGAAUAGUGAACUAAUGUUAAUAGAUCAGAGAGAUAAAUAUGAGCAUCACUAGACUUUUAAAAGGAUAAAUUUAAAGAUUUAAAUUUUAUAGGAAUAUAUCUGUUAUUUGAUAUGUUUACAGGAAUUAGUCCUGAUAAUGUAUGGACCAAGUCAGAAUAUUUGAGUAGUACAGGGACUAAUCAUAUAUUUUACCCCCUUUCUAACUAAAAAAUUUUAUUUUUGCACCCUACUAAUUAAUAAUGGAGAUUUUUUUGCAUUCGACCUCCUUAAAAAAAUUAUUUUUAUAAAUAAUUUUAUCAAAUUUAUAAUUAUAUAUUUUUAGCUCUAUCCCCGCCAUGUAGACGCCACGUAAGCACCACACGAGUAAGAGAAUAAGUUGAACACGUAAUGGUAAUCUAUUUAUGGCGCUAAUGUUGCGCCUACGGUAGGGAUAUGGCUAAAAUUGUAAUUAUAAAUUUGAUAGAGUAAUUUGUGAUUUU
rnacentral:lncRNA from 1 species